GGACCAGAGUUAAACUGAUACCUUAGGCACACAGGUUGGACUUACAUAGAGGAAGGAAAGCAAGCAAUGCCCUGUGUACGUGAGGUUUUACCUCCUCCAUUCCUGACCAAUAACCACCCAUAACUAUGGCAUUCUCUGUGACUUCCUUAAACAGCAGUGAUGGGAAGAGAUCCAGUAAUAUCUUCAAGGCCUUGGGGAAACUUGCAGUGGGUCAGUGGUCUGUGCCAACCAAAUGAUUGCCCCAUCCAAGCCAAUUGAGGACCCAGGAAGGAGUAGUAGGAAUACGGUUGAUUUAGAUUGGAUCUCCCAAGUUUUAAUUAAAAAGAGACUGAAGGAAAACCUUUCUGCUUUCUGUCCCUUAAAGAGCUCCUCAUCUGAUCUUGCAGCUAGACCUUUUGAGACUUAAGAGCUGCAUCCCAGGAUCAGAAGCCAGGGCUAGUUGGGGUAGGACAAUAUUCCCAGCCCCUAAGCUCUGUAGAUAGUGCAUAAGAAACACCAAGUCAGGCUCAGAUGCAACUAAAACACAUCUUUGAGCCUUUUCUUGUUCCCUUCUCCCCCUUCUAAACGAAAACCUUCCUAGGAUGGCAUCUUUUGCUCUAACUGGGAGACAGUCAUAAUUGGUUGUAGUCAACUCUACUGAGCAGUGUUGGGGUGAUUGGAAAGUCUCUUUUUGUUUUUGCAAAUCAUUGUGAGGCCACUCUUUCUUUCUUUUCUUUCUUUCUUUUCUUUCUUUCUUUUCUUUCUUUCUUUCUUUCUUUCUUUCUUUCUUUCUUUCUUUCUUUCUUUUCUUUUCUUUCUUUUUCUUUUCUUUGAAUUUGUUGUUGCAAAUCAUUGUGAAGCCACUUUUCUUUUUCCUUCCUUCCUUCCUUCCUUCCUUCCUUCCUUCCUUCCUUCCUUCCGUCCUCCCUCCCUCCUCCUCCCUCCCUCCCUCCUUUCCUUUCUUUUUUUUUUUUUUUUUUUUUUUUUUUUUUGAGGCGGAGUCUCGCUCUGUCCCCAGGCUGGAGUGCAGUGGCCGGAUCUCAGCUCACUGCAAGCUCUGCCUCCCGGGUUCCAUCGCCAUUCUCCUGCCUCAGCCUCCCAGGUAGCUGGGACUACAGGCGCUCGCCACCUCGCCCGGCUAGUUUUUUGUAGUUUUAGUAGAGACGGGGUUUCACUGUGUUCACCAGGAUGGUCUCGAUCUCCUGACCUCGUGAUCCACCUGUCUCGGCCUCCCAAAGUGCUGGGAUUACAGGCUUGAGCCACCGCGCCCGGCCUUUCCUUUCUUUUUAUUAGUGUUUUUCUUUUUUUCCUCAGAGUCUUGCUCUGUCGCCCAGGCUGGAGUGCAGUGGCACGAUCUUGGCUCAUUGCACCCUCCGCCUCCUGGGUUCAACCGAUUCUCCUGCCUCAGCCUCCCAAGUAGCUGGGAUUACAGGCGUGCACCACCACGCCCCACUAAUUUUUUGUAUUUUUGUUAGAGGCAGGGUUUCACCAUGAUGGUCAGGUUGGUUUUGAACUCCUGACCUCAAGUAAUCUGCCCACCUCAGCCUCCCAAAGUGCUAGGAUUAUAGGCAUGAGCCACUGCACCUGGCCCACUUUUCUUUCUUUCUUAUUUUGUUAUCCUGGCAGCCAUUUGCUGGUAUGGGAUCAAAGAGGACAGCCUUUCCUCCCUCACCUUCUCCAAAUCUAGGUGGAAUCACAGAGUACAAAACAUAAGAAUGCUGAAUGUGUAAAGUUGCAGAGGGAUCCCUAAUUUGAAGACUUUGACACAGAACUAACUUCUUUUGACUUAAAUGAAUUUAAAAUGAGCCAAAGGACCCUGAAAAGAAGACAUGUUGAUUUCCCACUCCUAGAUGCUAAAGAGACUUUUGGUACCAGCUUUGUUCAAACUGUAAAAAUAGCAAUUUGCCCCUACUCGCUCAGAGUGGGACAGUAAUGAACAGAUCUGGGAUUCCAUUUGACAGCUCGAAUGCUGACCUUCAGACAUGAGACAUAGGGAUUGGGAGGCCACUUAGAAUGGGUAGAUGGUGCUAUGUUCCCUUUCUGGCAUAGCAUUCACUUGGUGCUUUGGAGAUUAGGUGAGGGCCCUAUAGGUAGUUGGCCUGUUGGCAGAAUUUAUUUAGGAACAGCCCUUCUUAAAAGUGUCUCACUAACAAAGUACCCAGCUGCAGCAAGGAGGUGGGGAAGGAAGGCACCCCUAAAGGACAGCGCCUUCUUCUCUUCCACCCAUGCACGGCCUUGGGUGAUGGAGGCAGGGUCCCUGUGGCUGCGCGGGUCCCAUAGGAUCAAACCCUUCUUUGCAUGAAGCAGUGUUAGUUGUGACUCUUCUCUCUCCCCUUCCUCUGCACUUCCUUUCUGUAAUCCCUACUGUUGUUCUUAGUCCCAGCUUCUGCCCAGGGAGGCUUCUACCCAGACUUCUUUUGCAAUUUGUCCCUUGGAAGAGGGGGGCUCCCAGUGCCCCCAGCUUCAUCCCGGCAGAACCAGCAGGAUCCUCCUGAUCUCUCACUGGCCUUCCUCCACACUUGGUUUCUCUGGGAUAGAAGCUCAGAGCUUUUUAUGGCCCAGGAGAAAAUGUAGACCCUGAGAAACCUGUCCCUGCAGAAAGGUUCCCUUGGGCCAUGCUUUGGGCCCUCUGCUCUUUAUAUGUUUAUUCUAUUCUCAAUUUUUCCACCCUCUCCUUACCCUAGGCCUAAGCGCAGGUACAGAUAUGUGCGUGCUCAGGGCAGCUCCUAGGCCUGGACCGAGCUCUCAGGGAGGAAUUAGAUAAAUAUUCCAACAUCCUCAUGCCUGGCUCAUUUAGUUUCAUCCUUUAGUUACCCAGGCCAGUAGCUUUGGGUUAUGCCUUCCUGUAGCUCCAAACCCAACACUUGGAGCAGCAGAAUAGGGCACUGCCAGGAGAUGACUCUCUCUCCUAUCUCAGAAUUUGCCAGCUUCUGGGCUGGGCUCCUAGGAGGUAGUUUUCUUGAAGGGGACUGCAUCCUAGUUAACCUGAAUUUCCCAGACCAGGAGGGACUGCUGUGCCCUUCCUUCUCGCCAUUAUACUGUUUGGCUAGAUUCAUUCAGCAGUAGAAGCUCUUUGAUCUGUUGACCCCAGCAUACUGCUGUUUCUUCACCAGCUUCAUUGUGUCACAGUAGCUUCCUUUUGGAGGAUGAUGUGAUAGAGCACUCAGAGAGAGAGAGGGAGAAGAGAGGUAGUGGGUAUGCUUCUCUAGCUCCCCAUCUUCCAGGUCCACCUCUUGACUUCCUGUUCCCCUAAACCUGAGCACAUCAUGCCAGGCCUCAUUGCUGCCAGGACAGCAUCAGCUCACUCCUCAGCAAUAAUCUAGGGUAUGUGGGAAGGUCAGGGCUGUGGGAAGGAAUAGAAUCAAAGAGGGGAGUGAUAUGGGGUGGAGGCACUUGGCCACCUGCUAAACUUGGACAUUAAUUUUAUAUCAUGACCCCCUUUUAAGCCAGUGAGCUGGGCUUCAGUUUUUCCCAGGCCAUGCACAUUUAAUUUAUUUCAGAGAAACUCUAAUUGUAUUUUCACUGCAGUAUCUUGUAUUUUUUAUUUGUGAUUUAAGAAAUGUGAAGAGAAAAUACACAGACACAAUAAUGGCUAACAGUGUUUCUUUCAUUCCUUGUUCUAGAGCUAACCACUCUAAAAUUGUUUGGUAAUGUCACUUAGUGUAAUUAAUUGUAACAUAUUCUUUUAAAUAAAUUGAUUUAUUGAUCAAA
rnacentral:lncRNA from 1 species